rnacentral:misc_RNA from 1 species
AAUUAUCAACCUCUAUUGGAUUUUCUUUCAAGUGAGUGUUGGAUUUGGGGGUUUUGCAAGCGCUCUUGAGCACUGGCUCCUCUUAAAAACAUUAGCUGGAAUGUCUCCUCAGACUGUCCUAUAGUGUGAUAAUUAUCUGCACUAUAGUUCAGACUGACUCAUGUUUGGGACUCUGCUUAUAAAUGUCCUAUAUACUGGACAAGGACACCUAGUGUCUUUCUUUGACA